UUUAAUUCGAAGCAACGCGAACGAACCUUACCUAGGUCUUGACAUCCCGAUGCUAUUUCUAGAGAUAGAAAGUUACUUCGGUACAUCGGUGACAGGUGGUGCAUGGUUGUCGUCAGCUCGUGUCGUGAGAUGUUGGGUUAAGUCCCGCAACGAGCGCAACCCCUAUUGCUAGUUGCCAUCAUUCAGUUGGGCACUCUAGCGAGACUGCCGGUAAUAAACCGGAGGAAGGUGGGGAUGACGUCAAAUCAUCAUGCCCCUUAUGACCUGGGCUACACACGUGCUACAAUGGUUGGUACAACGAGUUGCGAGUCGGUGACGGCGAGCUAAUCUCUUAAAGCCAAUCUCAGUUCGGAUUGUAGGCUGCAACUCGCCUACAUGAAGUCGGAAUCGCUAGUAAUCGCGGAUCAGCACGCCGCGGUGAAUACGUUCCCGGGCCUU
rnacentral:rRNA from 1 species